rnacentral:rRNA from 1 species
UACAGAGGGUGCGAGCGUUAAUCGGAAUUACUGGGCGUAAAGCGUGCGUAGACGGCUAUCUAAGUCGGGUGUGAAAGCCCCGGGCUCAACCUGGGAAUUGCAUUCGAGACUGAAUAGCUAGGGUACGGUAGAGGGAAGUGGAAUUUCCGGUGUAGCGGUGAAAUGCGUAGAUAUCGGAAGGAACAUCAGUGGCGAAGGCGGUUCUCUGGGCAUUACCUGACGCUGAGGAGCGAAAGUGUGGGAGCGGAACAGA